rnacentral:rRNA from 1 species
CCUUCCUACGGGACGCAGCAGUGGGGAAUAUUGCACAAUGGGGGGAACCCUGAUGCAGCGACGCCGCGUGAGGGAAGAAGGUUUUUGGAUUGUAAACCUCUGUCCUUGGUAAAGAAGCAAGACGGUAGCCAAGGAGGAAGCCACGGCUAACUACGUGCCAGCAGCCGCGGUAAUACGUAGGUGGCGAGCGUUAUCCGGAAUGAUUGGGCGUAAAGGGUGCGCAGGCGGUCCUGCAAGUCUGGAGUGAAACGCAUGAGCUCAACUCAUGCAUGGCUUUGGAAACUGGGGGACUGGAGAGCAGGAGG